CUACGGGAGGCUGCAGUUGAGAAAAUUCUGCAAUGCGCGCAAGCGUGACAGAGCAAGCCAGAGUGCUUCUCCGUAUUAGGAGUAGCUUUUAUUCGAUGUAAAAAGUCGUAUGAAUAAGGACUGGGAGAGACUGGUGCCAGCCGCCGCGGUAAUCCCAGCAGUCCAAGUCGCAGCCAUUUUUAUUGGGUCUAAAACAUCCGUAGCUUGUUGAAUCAGUCUUUUGUGAAAUCUGGCAUCUCAAGUGUUGGGCGAGCAUAAGAUACUGUUUAACUAGAGACCGGGAGACGUAAGGAGUACGAUUUGAGUAGCGGUAAAAUGCGUUGAUCCUUAUCGGACUAACAAUAGCGAAGGCACCUUACGAGAACGGAUCUGACAGUGAGGGAUGAAGGCUAGGGUCGCAAAACGGAUUAGAUACCCGUGUAGUC
rnacentral:rRNA from 1 species